AUGAGCGGAAUGUCAGCACCCCUUGAGAGAAUGGCAACUGACAGCACUAGCUUAGAUACUUACUUGACAAUAUUCAGCAGUUUAUUUUCUAUAGACCAGACCACGCUGAUUGACAGUUUCAUUGAAACUCUUCCUCAGGCUUUAAUUUGCAUUUUGGCGGACAGACAGCCCUGUGGAUGGCAAGCAGAUUUAACCAGUACCGUUUCAUCUGCACUGAAUGAACAAGUACUUUCUGUGAUCUCCUCUGUUAAAGCUGAAGCUUGCAUGUCAACAUCUAAUCUGCGAAUGACAGACCCCACCGUGGCUCAAUUAAACUCUCUUCAGGAGAUGUUGACGAAUGUUUUGUCCUCAGACCUCUCACUUUAUCUGCAAUCAGACAGCUUUUUAGCCUUAUGGAAUAGUUUUAUGGACAUGGCAUUUCCACCUGUGAUGUCAUUCAUGUCUGAAUUCAUGUUGAGUGCACUUCAAACUCCAGUGGAUUUUCUAAAACUUGGAUUACAGUUUGGUAUUGAGAUCCCUACCCUAGACCAGAGUGAGAAAUGUCAACAAGGUGACCUCAAACAGCUUAUCAUGUGGGGCAUAAAUCAUAAUGUGAGCUGGUCUUUUGGACAGUCACUUCUGGAUAUGAUUUUGGUUCCUGAAACUCCUCCUUGCAGUUUCCCAGGUCCAGAAUGUCAGGCCACAAGCAGCAUCCAGUUCGGUCGUAAUGGCCCCGCCUCAGUGGACAUUCCCACGUCUGUUCUCACCUGCGAACAACAAAACCUGAACCAACUUAACGAAACCCUUUGUGCAGCAAUUUUAGGAGCAAAAUCUCAGGAAUCUUAUGUCCUUUAUCAGAUGUGUCGAGCACUCAGCACACUCUCUCAAACCGAAGUGACAAAAGUAUGGAGGAACAUGUGUCACAUUAUCAAGAAUGGCAUCUUACCUCUUAUUGAGCCCUGCAGUGAUCCUGGCAGCGCACAAUCAAGUCGUAUUGCACGGUCCACUCUCAGCCUCAGCGAACUCCUUUGCGACUACCAGAACUGGACUAUUGAUGGUGCCACAGACCCAGCAUUGGUCACAAUGUGCAGUGAAAAUGAUCGUGCGGCAUUCAUCCUUGCUGUGUGUAACAACGCUGAAGUUAUGCAAGUGUUGGUCAGAAAUCCUAAUAAUGCUUGGGUUUGGGAAUUCUGUGCAAACACAUCAGACUCAUACAUAGUGAACCUGUAUUGUUCAUAUAACAUAUGGACUGCUGAAACCAUCGACCCAUCAAUAGUGACGUUCUGCUGGUAUAAUGACAUGGAGAGAUUUCAGUUUUUUUUGUGUGACAGUAUGGCCUUCUUUAUGGUUGUGUUCUCCACUGAAGAAAACAACUGGCUGAAGCCCAAUUGCUCUGAACCUCCUCCACAAAUUGACAUCAACACCUUUGUGGCUGAGUCUUGCAAAUACUCUGAAUGGAAGAAUGUACAAGCAAUCAGCCCUGAACAGAUCUCUAUAUGUAUCCAAAAUGAUGAGGUUCGGUUUAUUAAUGAGGUGUGUGUUGACCACAAGUUCAUCACUCUACUUGUGCAGAACAGCGCAAAUGCUUGGGUACAGAAAUAUUGCACCUACUCUAUCAGGAAUCCCCCUACAAGUCCACCACUGCUGAAUAUCGAAGUUUGGUGUAACUAUAACAAAUGGACUAACAUGUCUGUAGAUCCGUCUGUGGUCGCUCUAUGCUGGCAGUACGACCAGAUUGGCUUCCAUCAGAACGUCUGCUGCAACAUACCCUUGUAUGACAAGUUGUCCAUUCAUGUUGACAACCAGUGGAUGAUUAGAGAGUGCUCUAAUAAUGACACCACAAGCAUGUUGGAGCAGGUUUGCAUCUAUUCAGAUUGGAGCCAGCCUACUGUAGUAAACAUGACUGACCUUGCUCUCUGUGCAGAUCUUGACACUGAGAACUUCACUCGGAAUGUAUGUGCCAAUGCAACAGUUUUCCAGAAUUUGCUGGCCAAUUUAGACGGCACCUGGUUAUUGGAGCAAUGCUCAAACCUGACUGCGCCUGGCCCAGGUGGUGGGGCUGGGAACGGGGGGGGCCUGGUGAGUUUCCGACCAGCUGAGCAGUGUCAGUACUCCAAUUGGGCUUUGGUGCUCCCGGACGCUGCUCUCCUCACUCUUUGCUGGGAAUAUGACCAGGCCAACUUUAUCUCCUUUGUCUGUGCUGACUCUUCCAUGCUCACCCACAUCACUCAGGAGGCCUCCAGCCUCCGGGUUGGCAGUCUCUGUGCCACAUACACAGCUCCCCAAACCACCACCAUCAGUGGGAGCAAUGAAACAACUCCCCAGCCAUGCUUAACUAGGGAGUUAGCUAAAAGGCUAAACUGGACAUGCAGCACAGACUUCAGUGCUGUCUGCCAACCAGGUGCCAGUCAAGUCCAGGGUCUUCGGGUGCUGUUGCGCUGUGGGAUAAAGAUCCUCCAACCUCGCUUGGAGAAUCUCAUGACUACAGAGGUGACAUCGAUGGUCAAGCAGGCCACCAACCUGUGGGUUGUCCUGCUGUUGGCUCUAGAAGAAAGCCAAAUUACCUCUCUAAGGAUGACAGAGAAUAUUCGGCUUAGUGUUUUGGACUCAGUUGUCGCCUACAUGGACAAUGAAACCAACUUUGACAACAAGCGUGUGCUUUUGCAGUGCUUUGGGGUUGGUAUUAUUAUUAAAUCGCUACAAACCCAAGUAUUACAUAUUAAGAACAGGGCAAAUUAUUGUGUUUAUUAGACCACUGUUUCCCAAAAAAGACACUGAACUAGUUCUGGAAGUUCUUCUGUUUUUUCUGAUUAUUAAUUAAGCAUAUCCCUUACCGGGUUCACCACUAUUUUGUAAUUGACCCACGAUCUAGCUCAUCAACAUGAGGUAUAAGGUGUUAGACCUGACACCGGAUAAUCUAAAUCUCUUCCUUAGCAUGUAAUAUUAACUCUUGAGUCAUUUGAUUUGUCUCUACAUUAGUACUGUGAUACAAAUACCUAAUGUAUGUUGUUGUUGUUCCUGCUGCAUUUCCGGUUAAAACUUUACAUAUGUGUAUUUCAGAAAGUUCUGACCAGUCUGAUGCAAAUAGGAAGAAAUAUGCCCACUAACUUUUUCCUGAUCAAGGUUGGAUACACAACUUCAUUCGCAUGUUUUACAUUAUUAGCUUUGUGCUGCUAAAAAAUAACACUUGAAAGUGUUUGGGUCAAAUUCAUGUUUUGCUUUGUCUAUCCACAUUAUCAUUCAUGCAGAAUAUCUGCUUUUGUUUGCUGAAAUCAGUGUGAGUAACAGCAUGAAUUACACAUUAUUGCUUUUGCAGGAGUAUUUCCGCAUUCCUCUAUCUCAUCUGAGAUCAGUGCUCAGUGCAGCAGACAGCAUAAUCGUGAGGGAGAUUCUGCUGUACUAUAACAGGAACACAGCCACUUUGCAG
ensembl:lncRNA